CUCAAGCACAAGCUGUGUUGUCCUGCUCGCUGGAAGUGCCCAUGUCUUCAUGCUGUUAUGUAAUUUUUCCAGGAGGGAGAGAGGGCCCCGGAUAUGAAACAAUCCCUUUCUGUGGUGGACCAUCCCUGGCCCCGGACCAGGAGGGUCCUGAAAGUGUCCCCAGUUUGAAAGGAGGUUUACGGUUCCUUGCCCUGUGGGGAGUCACAAGGGUCAUGUUUGUGUGAGUACAAACAAGAUUUAUAGCGCAACAGGCAGUCAAGUAUUUCAUUGUGAUUCCCAAAGCGUGACAGGGAAGGACUCCGCAUGAAUUGGCUUCUGCCAAGCCCCGGAGGUCCCAAUCUUGGCACAGAAAAAAGACCACAAAAUGACCCACUCUGAGGUGUUUAUUAUGCCGUUUUCUCACACGGUUUGCCAUUUACAAAUACCAAAUGUAUUUGCAUAUCUUUAUUGCCUCAACUGUUUUUUUUUUCUUGCGGAGCAAUCCAAUUAGCGUUUUUAGCCAGUUUUAUUAUCCCUGAGAAAGUAUAUGCUACAGCUUGCCUUGCGAUUAUGUCAUAUCGCUCAAUUAUGACAGAGAAAAUUAUGUAAGGAUCAGACUACACAAUAUGUUUGUCUUUUAUGAUGGUCAUUAUGCACAAUUAGGCAAUAAUAUUGGCAUAGAUUAUUGUGGUCUCUUGGUUAAGUGAUGGACAAUACUCCAAGUUUGACCCAACAAAUCAUGGUUCACGUCCUUGCACAAUCAUGUCUAUGUGCAGACUUGUGUGACAAAAAAAAAAAAGAA